rnacentral:rRNA from 1 species
UACAGGGGGGGGCAAGCGUUGUUCGGAAUUACUGGGCGUAAAGGGCUCGUAGGCGGCCAACUAAGUCCGACGUGAAAUCCCAAAGCUUAACUUUGGAACUGCGUCGGAUACUGGAUGGCUUGAAUUCGGGAGAGGGAUGCAGAAUUCCAGGUGUAGCGGUGAAAUGCGUAGAUAUCUGGAGGAAUACCGGUGGCGAAGGCGGCAUCCUGGACCAGACUAGUACGCUGAGGAGCGAAAGCCAGGAGGGCAAACGGG